UAAAAAUCAAAAGUACAAAAGAAAAGAAAAAGAAAACCCCUGUCUAAGUGCAGGCAUCCAUCAGUAGAUGAUAUGUCAAUCCAUGUCCUCAUCCGAGUCAUAAUCAUCCCCAGCCUGGGCAUCCUCAAAGUCAUCAUCCUGGUCAUCAUCCUCUCCACCUGAGGCUCCAACUGCUUUAGACCCGCUGCCUUGUGCCUGCUCUUGAGGCCACGCCAUAGUACUAUGGAACUCGUCCAUAGUCCACCUAUGUACUAGUGGCGUGUCGAACAACCUUAUGAUCAUCUCAACAGUGCCACCUGCCC
rnacentral:lncRNA from 1 species